AAUCAAAGACAUGGACUUAAAUUCAAUGACCAAAACUCAACAUUUUUCAAAGUUAAGUGGCUAAAAACUUGACAUUUUAAAGUUCAAUGGCUAAUCAAAGAUAUGGAUCUAAGUUCAGUGACCAUUGAAACAAUUAACUCAACGGAAUUACCUCUUUCUUGACGUCCUGAAUGCGUUGAAGUAGGUAUUUGGUUUGUCUUUUUUGCAAAAUAAUGAACUAUUGGUGUCUAUUUGUAAUCAGAGUUACACACGUGCUAUAAAGUCCGAUCAUAAAAAUGUGAAUGACAUGAAGAAGCGGUAAAAGUCGAUGGGUUCCCAAUUUUUCACGCACAAACUAAUGGCAUACGAUGGUAAAUAAUUUGAAUUUUAACUCCUUAAAUCCAACAAUAUCACGGCACUCAAAUCAACUCAGAUACGAUGUCUAUCAUGUUUCAUUCGCCUAGCAGGUAUUGAUUGAGCAAUAUGGUCAACGUACCAAACUUUCUC
rnacentral:lncRNA from 1 species